rnacentral:rRNA from 1 species
ACAGUGGACGCGAGCAUCUUUGUUGUAAGUGUUUAAGAGCGUACGGUGGAUGCCUUGGCACCAGGAGCCGAUGAAGGACGUAGGAGGCUGCGAUAAGCCUCGGGGAGCUGUCAACCGAGCUGAGAUCCGAGGAUGUCCGAAUGGGGAAACCCAGCCACAGUGAUGUGUGGUUACCCGCGCCUGAAUAUAUAGGGCGUGUGGAGGGAACGUGGGGAAGUGAAACAUCUCAGUACCCACAGGAAGAGAAAACAACAUGUGAUUCCGUGAGUAGUGGCGAGCGAAAGCGGAAGAGGCUAAACCAUGGGUGUGUGAUAGCCGGCGGGCGUUGCAUUCGUGGGGUUGUGGGAUCCGUCUUGUCAAUUCUGCCGGAUUGGCGACAGUGAGAAAUCAUCGUGUUAGUCGAAGUGGUCUGGAACGGCCUGUCGUAGAGGGUGAGAGUCCCGUAGACGAAAACAUGGUGACUGUCGUGACGGACACCGAGUAGCAGCGGGCCCGUGAAAUCUGCUGUGAAUCUGUCGGGACCACCCGAUAAGCCUGAAUACUCCCUGGUGACCGAUAGCGGACUAGUACCGUGAGAAAGGUGAAAAGUACCCGGGAGGGGAGUGAAAUAGUACCUGAAACGUGCGCUUACAAUCCGUCAGAGCCUGCGCCACUUCGGUGGGUGGGUGAUGGCGUGCCUUUUGAAGAAUGAGCCUGCGAGUUAGCGGCAUGUCGCGAGGUUAAACCGUGUGGGGUAGCCGUAGCGAA